GACGAGGGGUCCAAGCGUUGUUCGGAAUCAUUGGGCGUAAAGCGGGUGUAGGCGGCCUUAUAAGUCAGAAGUGAAAGCCCCGGGCUUAACUCGGGAAGUGCUUUUGAUACUGCAAGGCUUGAAUGUGGGAGAGGAUGGUGGAAUUCCUGGUGGUAGUGGUGAAAUACGUAGAGUAUCAAGGAGGAACAUCGGUGCGAAGGCGGCCA
rnacentral:rRNA from 1 species